rnacentral:rRNA from 1 species
UACGUAGGGUGCAAGCGUUGUCCGGAAUUAUUGGGCGUAAAGAGCUUGUAGGUGGCCUGUCGCGUCGGCUGUGAAAACUCGGGGCUCAACUCCGAGCUUGCAGUCGAUACGGGCAGGCUAGAGUUCGGCAGGGGAGACUGGAAUUCCUGGUGUAGCGGUGAAAUGCGCAGAUAUCAGGAGGAACACCGGUGGCGAAGGCGGGUCUCUGGGCCGAUAUUGACGCUGAUGCGCGAAAGCCAGGGGAGCGAACGGG